rnacentral:rRNA from 1 species
GAUGAACGCUGACGGCGUGCCUAAUACAUGCAAGUCGAGCGAACAGACGAGGAGCUUGCUCCUCUGACGUUAGCGGCGGACGGGUGAGUAACACGUGGAUAACCUACCUAUAAGACUGGGAUAACUUCGGGAAACCGGAGCUAAUACCGGAUAAUAUAUUGAACCGCAUGGUUCAAUAGUGAAAGACGGUUUUGCUGUCACUUAUAGAUGGAUCCGCGCCGCAUUAGCUAGUUGGUAAGGUAACGGCUUACCAAGGCAACGAUGCGUAGCCGACCUGAGAGGGUGAUCGGCCACACUGGAACUGAGACACGGUCCAGACUCCUACGGGAGGCAGCAGUAGGGAAUCUUCCGCAAUGGGCGAAAGCCUGACGGAGCAACGCCGCGUGAGUGAUGAAGGUCUUCGGAUCGUAAAACUCUGUUAUUAGGGAAGAACAAAUGUGUAAGUAACUAUGCACGUCUUGGCGGUACCUAAUCAGAAAGCCACGGCUAACUACGUG